GGUGACGAGCGGCGGACGGGUGAGUAAUGUCUGGGAAACUGCCUGAUGGAGGGGGAUAACUACUGGAAACGGUAGCUAAUACCGCAUAACGUCGCAAGACCAAAGUGGGGGACCUUCGGGCCUCAUGCCAUCAGAUGUGCCCAGAUGGGAUUAGCUAGUAGGUGGGGUAACGGCUCACCUAGGCGACGAUCCCUAGCUGGUCUGAGAGGAUGACCAGCCACACUGGAACUGAGACACGGUCCAGACUCCUACGGGAGGCAGCAGUGGGGAAUAUUGCACAAUGGGCGCAAGCCUGAUGCAGCCAUGCCGCGUGUGUGAAGAAGGCCUUCGGGUUGUAAAGCACUUUCAGCGGGGAGGAAGGCGAUAAGGUUAAUAACCUUGUCGAUUGACGUUACCCGCAGAAGAAGCACCGGCUAACUCCGUGCCAGCAGCCGCGGUAAUACGGAGGGUGCAAGCGUUAAUCGGAAUUACUGGGCGUAAAGCGCACGCAGGCGGUCUGUCAAGUCGGAUGUGAAAUCCCCGGGCUCAACCUGGGAACUGCAUUCGAAACUGGCAGGCUAGAGUCUUGUAGAGGGGGGUAGAAUUCCAGGUGUAGCGGUGAAAUGCGUAGAGAUCUGGAGGAAUACCGGUGGCGAAGGCGGCCCCCUGGACAAAGACUGACGCUCAGGUGCGAAAGCGUGGGGAGCAAACAGGAUUAGAUACCCUGGUAGUCCACGCCGUAAACGAUGUCGAUUUGGAGGUUGUGCCCUUGAGGCGUGGCUUCCGGAGCUAACGCGUUAAAUCGACCGCCUGGGGAGUACGGCCGCAAGGUUAAAACUCAAAUGAAUUGACGGGGGCCCGCACAAGCGGUGGAGCAUGUGGUUUAAUUCGAUGCAACGCGAAGAACCUUACCUGGUCUUGACAUCCACAGAACUUUCCAGAGAUGGAUUGGUGCCUUCGGGAACUGUGAGACAGGUGCUGCAUGGCUGUCGUCAGCUCGUGUUGUGAAAUGUUGGGUUAAGUCCCGCAACGAGCGCAACCCUUAUCCUUUGUUGCCAGCGGUCCGGCCGGGAACUCAAAGGAGACUGCCAGUGAUAAACUGGAGGAAGGUGGGGAUGACGUCAAGUCAUCAUGGCCCUUACGACCAGGGCUACACACGUGCUACAAUGGCAUAUACAAAGAGAAGCGACCUCGCGAGAGCAAGCGGACCUCAUAAAGUAUGUCGUAGUCCGGAUUGGAGUCUGCAACUCGACUCCAUGAAGUCGGAAUCGCUAGUAAUCGUAGAUCAGAAUGCUACGGUGAAUACGUUCCCGGGCCUUGUACACACCGCCCGUCACACCAUGGGAGUGGGUUGCAAAAGAAGUAGGUAGCUUAACCUUCGGGAGGGCGCUUACCACUUUGUGAUUCAUGACUGGGGUGAAG
rnacentral:rRNA from 1 species